GCUUUAUCCAAGGGUGGGAUGGUACCAGAGCAUGUGCUGGUCCUACCCAUCGGUCACUAUGCAGCCUCCACUGACGCACCACCAGUGAGUUCAUGUGCUGUGUGUACCACUGCUGUGUGUGUAUAGUCAUUGUUUGUAUUGUGGAGAGUAUGUUUCCAUGCUCUGUGUGUACUAUUUAGCAGUCUGUAGUGUUCAGCCUGUAAGCAGGCCACCCUCUAUAAUACAGCCAGGUUAAUGGGCCCCAAAGUCUCCAUAGCAUGUGUUUGGACCUGUGUUAGCAGACCACCUCUUUAGUACAGCCACUGUUGGUCUGCCCACUGUGUAAGCAGAGAUCACUAUACCAUAUAUCAUGCAUGUACACUGUAUGACCUGUGCUCUAUUACUGUAGGAGGUUUUGGAGGAGCUUGGAAAGUUUAAGAGUGCUCUGAGGAAGUACUUCAACAGCAAAGAUCAGUCGUGUGUCAUCUUCCAGAGAAACUACAAAUUACAGCAUCUUCAACUACAGGUUAUUCCAGUGACCAAGAUUCCAUCUGAUACUCUGAGACAAGCCUUCAUAGAUUAUGGGUGGAGUAUGGGGGUGUGGCUUGAGACUGUGCCCAGGGAAACACCACCCUCAGAGGUAACACACACACAUCAUAGCUGUACCAUGUUCUACGUAUCAUUCUCUAAGCCUUUUAUAGCCUCGAUUCCAGGCCGAUUAAAAUACGGCCUGGUACCUAUUGCAUGGUGAUAGUGCGCAUGCGCUAGUUUAUUCACCAGACUCAUCUAUUUUCUAUCUAUGUACAUCAGCUUAGUUUUGCGUUGUUUCAGAAGGCUUUCACACUAGUCUAAAGUCAGAAGAGGCUCUCAUCUACCUCUAUGACAGUUGUAUGGUCAGGAUGUCUUACAUUGGAUCUGUACAGUCUAUGGGAAGUGUAUGUUGCCUCUUAACUUCUACUUGCGAAGACAACCCGGCUAUAGGACCAUCCUAGAUAUAGUAGACACACACACACAUACCCUCCUCCCCCAUACACACGCCACACACACACACGCACACACACACACACACACACACACACACACACACACACACGCACACACCCACACCCACACACACACACACACACACACACACGCACACACACACACACACGCACACACACACACACACACACACACACGCACACACACACGCACACACACGCACACACACACACACGCACACACACACACACGCACACACACACACACACACACACACACACACACACACACACACACAGCUUGCGUACACUGGUGUCCCAUAAAUCUUGGCAUAGUUUGAUGAUGGGGAAAUGUGUUCACAAGACCAUUUUCUCACCAACUCACGCAGACAAACAACCAGAUCACUGAAUAUAGGUUAUAGUAUGUUUCUACUACUGUGAGCUCACGAGGUAAACAGCACUCUCAAGUGAGUAGGUAAGAACAUAUCCGUGAGUCUCGUCACACCGACAAUGCACACCUCUAACCUUUCUAUUGCAUACUCAGCAAAUGUCUCUUCCACAAAUCUGUCAUCAUACCUAUCGAGUGAACACACAAACUGUUCUAGUUCCUGGAACAAUACGUACGGACGUUUCUCUCUCCAAUUUGGAAGGGAGGUGUUGGCUGCUCCUCUCGUUCUGAAUCUGCCCAAUCGGAUAAACUGGAAGUCGUGUCUGGCAACAAAGGACGAGGAGACGAAAGCUGCUCUAGAAAUGAGAAAGAACUUUAAACCAUAAUUAUUAUUUUGAUUUCACUGACAACGAUGAUUUUUAUUUUCACUUUUACUUUUGUAUAAGGGAUGUUUUGUGUAUUAGCUAUAGUUGUCAAUAAUAAUUAUGGUUGGCCAUAUAUAUUAUAUAGUUAUAGGAGUGCAGAUCAAUAUCAGUGGGCAAUUAUUUUCCUUGUCCCAAUGUUGUAUUAGAAUGCUGUCCAUGA